GGAUCUCCUUGUAAAUCUAUUCUAAGUUGUGUCUAAUAACCCCAAGCUCUCGAUCCCUCCCACUCCCUCCCCCUCCCAUCAGGCAGCCACAAGUCUGUUUUGAGGACAACCAUCCCCAAUAGAGGAGGACCGUUCUUCGGUCAAGGGUAUAUGAGUAGUUGUGCUCCCCUGCUAGAACCUGCAAACAAGCUCUCAAGGUCCACUUAUUCUUCUUUUUCUAGUUCUUUUAGGUGGUGAUAAGGUAGGUUGUUUAUUUGAAAUGUUUCUUGUUUUU
rnacentral:snRNA from 1 species